AUUGAACGCUGGCGGCAUGCUUUACACAUGCAAGUCGAACGGCAGCGCGGGCUUCGGCCUGGCGGCGAGUGGCGAACGGGUGAGUAAUACAUCGGAACGUGCCCAGUAGUGGGGGAUAGCUCGGCGAAAGCCGGAUUAAUACCGCAUACGACCUGAGGGUGAAAGCGGGGGAUCUUCGGACCUCGCGCUAUUGGAGCGGCCGAUGGCAGAUUAGCUAGUUGGUGGGGUAAAGGCCUACCAAGGCGACGAUCUGUAGCUGGUCUGAGAGGACGACCAGCCACACUGGGACUGAGACACGGCCCAGACUCCUACGGGAGGCAGCAGUGGGGAAUUGUGGACGAUGGGCGGAAGCCUGAUCCAGCAAUGCCGCGUUUGAUGAAGGCUUUCGGGUUGUAAAGCACUUUUGGCGGGAACGAAAAUGACUGUGCCAAUACCACGGUUCGAUGACGGUACCCGCAGAAUAAGCACCGGCUAACUACGUG
rnacentral:rRNA from 1 species